GAUGAACGCUGGCGGCGUGCCUAAUACAUGCAAGUCGAGCGAACAGAUGAGGAGCUUGCUCCUCUGACGUUAGCGGCGGACGGGUGAGUAACACGUGGAUAACCUGCCUAUAAGACUGGGAUAACUUCGGGAAACCGGAGCUAAUACCGGAUAAUAUAUUGAACCGCAUGGUUCAAUAGUGAAAGGCGGUUUUGCUGUCACUUAUAGAUGGAUCCGCGCCGCAUUAGCUAGUUGGUAAGGUAACGGCUUACCAAGGCAACGAUGCGUAGCCGACCUGAGAGGGUGAUCGGCCACACUGGAACUGAGACACGGUCCAGACUCCUACGGGAGGCAGCAGUAGGGAAUCUUCCGCAAUGGGCGAAAGCCUGACGGAGCAACGCCGCGUGAGUGAUGAAGGUCUUCGGAUCGUAAAACUCUGUUAUUAGGGAAGAACAAAUGUGUAAGUAACUAUGCACGUCUUGACGGUACCUAAUCAGAAAGCCACGGCUAACUACGUG
rnacentral:rRNA from 1 species